AGAAUCAGAGAAACCAGCCCUCACAUCACCCUCUCUCCCCUCUUUAGCCCCAAACAAAUUUGUAGCCCUUUCUCCCCUGUUUUCCUCUUCUUUAUGUUUUUGCUCCAGCUAGCCUUCUUGUGAAAAAUUGAGUUAAUAGUUGCCUUCCCAUGAGAAUCAGCCUUCAUGCCACCCACCAUCGUCUUUAGGACACCCAAACUGUACGGGAGGACUUGGCCGUUCGCCGGACAGAGCCACCGGUUGACUUGCUGGUUGGCCAGAAGUUGCUGCUCGUCGGUUUGUCAGUCCGCCUACCCACCUGCACUAUUUCACGAUUUCAGCCUUUUUUGUCCCAUUCCAACCAUUCCUCCACCCAGCCCAGCUACCAGUAGGUCCCCCUCGCUGGAGUUCCAAUUAGCUGCCCAUCUCCUUUUCCUUCUUUGUUGUUCGGUUUCCAGAGUUGCAGUGGGAGGCAGUGUUUGUUGUUGCUGUUCCAGCCCUAGACUACCUUGGAUCGUCAUGGUUGAGAUUCCCGAGUGUAGCCUCCAUCGUCACCAUCGCGUCCGUGUCUCCAGCCCGUUUAACGAGUCUCUAGUAUGAAGAAUUCGAAGCUUGAGGUGGAAAGGUCAGGAGUAUAGAUGGCUUAGUAGUUCUUCUUGGAGAUAGAUUUCUUGUACAUAGACCUUAGAGUUGGCCUCUAUGUAUAAACUAGUUUGUUUAUGAAAAGUGUUCUGGUGAAAA